GUUUGAUCAUGGCUCAGAUUGAACGCUGGCGGCAGGCCUAACACAUGCAAGUCGAACGGUAACAGGAAGCAGCUUGCUGCUUUGCUGACGAGUGGCGGACGGGUGAGUAAUGUCUGGGAAACUGCCUGAUGGAGGGGGAUAACUACUGGAAACGGUGGCUAAUACCGCAUAACGUCGCAAGACCAAAGAGGGGGACCUUCGGGCCUCUUGCCAUCAGAUGUGCCCAGAUGGGAUUAGCUUGUUGGUGAGGUAACGGCUCACCAAGGCGACGAUCCCUAGCUGGUCUGAGAGGAUGACCAGCCACACUGGAACUGAGACACGGUCCAGACUCCUACGGGAGGCAGCAGUGGGGAAUAUUGCACAAUGGGCGCAAGCCUGAUGCAGCCAUGCCGCGUGUAUGAAGAAGGCCUUCGGGUUGUAAAGUACUUUCAGCGGGGAGGAAGGUGUUGUGGUUAAUAACCGCAGCAAUUGACGUUACCCGCAGAAGAAGCACCGGCUAACUCCGUGCCAGCAGCCGCGGUAAUACGGAGGGUGCAAGCGUUAAUCGGAAUUACUGGGCGUAAAGCGCACGCAGGCGGUCUGUCAAGUCGGAUGUGAAAUCCCCGGGCUCAACCUGGGAACUGCAUUCGAAACUGGCAGGC
rnacentral:rRNA from 1 species